rnacentral:rRNA from 1 species
GUGGGGAAUAUUGGGCAAUGGGGGCAACCCUGACCCAGCGACGCCGCGUGAGGGAAGAAGGCCUUAGGGUCGUAAACCUCUGUUGUGUGGGAAGAAGGAAGUGACGGUACCACACGAGGAAGUCCCGGCUAACUACGUGCCAGCAGCCGCGGUAAUACGUAGGGGACGAGCGUUGUCCGGAAUUACUGGGCGUAAAGGGCGCGUAGGCGGUCAUUUAAGUCAGCUGUGAAAUGGUCCGGCUCAACCGGAGCAUGCGGUUGAAACUGGAUGACUGGAGUGCUGGGGAGGCAAGUGGAAUUCCCAGUGUAGCGGUGAAAUGCGUAGAUAUUGGGAAGAACACCGGUGGCGAAGGCGACUUGCUGGCCAGCAACUGACGCUGAGGCGCGAAAGCCAGGGGAGCAAACGGGAUUAGAUACCCUGGUAGUCC